rnacentral:piRNA from 1 species
UAGUUUCUUUGUGCUGCAUAGACUCCUGU